rnacentral:lncRNA from 1 species
AACAGCUCUGUAAUCGUAAGGUUCGAGAUUUUGCUACGGCUUUACGGGUCCGAAAAGUUUCCGGAGCUUUCGUGAAACGGGCCUAAGUAGGGUAUCUUAAAGAGAGCAAGGGUUUUGGGAAGUGAGCCGCACAUCACACCCAAUUUUUUUCUGGGAGUAUACCUCCACCCCCCGCGCCCCCGAGGUGUUGAACUUCUCUAUAACCACCCUGAUCCCUACCAUUGCAGAUAGGUUUCAAUCUAAAUAGGAUUCUCUGCUGUCAGCAGAUGUCAUAUCAUGGUUAAGGAAAUAUGCAUUUGUUUUUUUUUUUGUUUUUUUUUUGUUUUUUUUUUUAACAUCAGUUCGUGUGCCUUCAGCAGAAGUUCCCCUCGUGACUCUGUGACUCGAUUGUGACAGCUGUAGGUAAUGUGGUACCAAUCAUUUCAUUUCAAACAAGAAACAUAUCAGCCUAGCUUAGCAUUUUGAUAAUUUCUAUACCCCUACAAAAAUUAGCUGGAGAAUAGUGGCUUCUUUAGCUAUCCUGAAUUCACAUUGAAUUUCAAUGAUAGAAGCCACUAACCAACCAUCCUUACCAUAAAAUUCUUUUUACAUGGGCUGAACGUAAGGCAAUGUUUAAAAGUAAAAAGUCAUUUACUACUCGCUGGAUACCUCAAAAUAAUUAUCUGCUAAGGAAGUGGAGAAUUUCGCCGCAGCUAUGAUAGAAAAACGUGAAAAAUUGAUAACUCAAACAUUGUAGAAGAUUAACUUAAUACCUCUCUUCCGGAGGAAAAAAAAUAGUUAAGCCAUUAACUGCAUAACAAACAGCGUGUCUUAUUAUUUAUAAAGAUCAAUACCAUUACAAAAGAUCGAGCCAAUAUAGAACCAUUAUUUCGAUAGUUCUGUGUGAUCUUAGCGAGUCACCUGCCCUGGAAAGGUUAACUUCUUAAAAUUUCUGGCAGGCUCCGUUCCAUUUAUAGAUAGUUUGGACCAAGGGUGAGUUUCCAUCCACAGGAUAAGACUGAUGAAGCUAAAAUCCCCCUCUUCUCAACCGCACUCACCCCUGCUAGGAAAGGUUUCUCAUUGCGAAUACCGAGAAAUCGCCAUUAAAUUUAGCUAGCACGUAAACAUUUUCAUUCAAUGAACGUUUGUAUGAUACAGAGCAGUGGUUAUACCCCGAAAUAGCAUUAUCCUACCUAGUCUGGCACUCUGGAAUUUUGUCGCUGAAAACUCACUCUUCUCGUGACGUGCUUUUUUUGAGUCCACAUUGAAACAGACAGUGGUCGCUAACGACUAUAUAAUUAUCUAAUUUAAUUAAAUAUUUCACUCAGGAUAUGGUAGUAAUUAAUAGAAAACGUAAGCAGGUUUGCAUGUUUUAAACCAAGUAGUCUACAUCAUGGGAGGGGAGAUUUUUAGACUCAGAUGCCGCUAAAGAGUGAAGUUGUUUGUAUUCACACAAACAAAUUAUGUUUACAAGGAAUCAUUAUAGUAUACCAGUGUAUUAAAGUUGUAAUAUCACAUUUAGUGUUCGUGUUGUCUGUUCGUGAAAGCAUGCCGGUGUUUCAAUAAGAAACAGGAUAGUGAAAUGUAGAUGCUCCAAUUCUCUCAAUGUGUUUGAUGUCCGAUCACGGAAUUUCUUUUAAAAAUAGAAACCGCACGAAACUGAAGCGUGUGCCUUAUUAGCUGUGCUUUAUUUCUUGUUUAAAUUAGAGUUACUACCACUUUACAUGUUGUUGACAUUGCUUCUUAUCGCACUAGCAUUUGCAAUCUGUUGAUAAGAGUGCCUGAGUUCUUAACUGAAUAACUUAAGAGCUCGGUAUGUUUUUUAAGCCUCCGUACAGCACUCGAAGUAAAUAUUUGCGCGUGCAUUGGGGGAAGACUGUGGUCAGGAAAUGGUGUUUGUGAUGAGCUGAGAACUGCUCUUCAUCUCCCUAGCAACUUCCGCACAAACAUCCGUCGGUAUAAUAGACCAUAUUGCAACCUUGACCGACGAACUUUGUGCGAGAAGCAAGGACGAUAUUCACUUAAAGAUAUUACUUUGUAUACCGACUCUUAGUAAUAUUUAAAACGAGUUGGGAAAGUCAGUGUGUCUAACCGCAACGUUUAACAGAAGGUAUAAAGAGGAAAAACGAGGGCACCAGGUCAAUGGAAUUGCGUUGGCGAAGUUCUCAGUAAGUAGUUGUCAGAUUGUUUCACUGUGCCUCAUUUUAAGUAGUUUGUCGUCGUAUUUUUCGACGCGUGAUGAAUCAUAGAAUGAUCAGUUCACAUGUUUGUCGUUUUAUGAGCGUUCAUUUUAAUUUAUUCCAGAUGAAAACCGUAAUUUAAUUAAUGUGACAUCCCCUGUUAGCAUAACCACUUUGAAAUGGACGUAACAGAAGGCUUGUUUACUGUAUAGGCACUAACGUCUGUUGAUAGUGACUGGUAAUGCCUCACACAUUGGCCACAAAUCACACUUCAAUUAGUUUUAUUUACCAUUUGCAAUUAGCUUAUUUACAUUGCAGAGUGCUGUUCCGCUCAGGUAUGUAUGUGGCACAACGUUCUGUGUGUUCUGUAGUUUUAAUUGAGCUAUAAAUUGCGUAGACAGUGACUCGACACGGUUUUAAAAUUGUUCCACGCGCCAAAGCCAGUUCGAUUCCAGUAUAUGCUCGAGCUUUACCCGAGUGUAUAAUAUGGCUAAACGGGUUUGAAUAUGAAAACGUUUGCCUUAUCAAUCCCAGAUGGUUAACCGUAACUUCUUUUUUUUUUUUUUCCAGGAGUUAAAUUCAGUAUUUUCCCCUUACUUUCAAAUAUUAUCUCCAUAUGGUGAUACGGCCUCCCCAGCAGGUCAACUCCAGGUUGUAGCUAUGCGCGCCAAAAUGUCUUCCAAACGGAUGUUCGCUGUGGGAGCUUCGGUAUUGAUCCACUUUGCGACGCCAGUGCACUGACUUAAACGCAGAUUUAACUUCUUUAACAAAAUUACGUGCUUAAAGGCUAAUCCGAUCAGUUUUUAUACUAUGAAUCUUGCAACUUUUUUUGGCCCAUUUAGGAUUAAUUUACUGGCCGAGACAUGAAGAAGUCAGCAAUAAAGAACUCAACAAACCUUUGCGUAUAAAAACAGUUUUCUCGGAGAAGCCUUGUAAUAUUAGUCAAGGCUUGUGAACGUAAUGAUUCAUCAUUAGGCUGUCAUCGCAAGUCGAAUGUUUGUAGUUAGAGGAUUAAACCAACGAGUGGUAGUCUUGUCGUUUUGUCGGCAUUCGGGAGCCAUGUUAAGCCCAGUUGAAAUGAACGGAAACACAACCGUAAACUAAUAUGACAAUAAAAGUAACAUAGAUUGUAAUGAAAACAGCCUGAUUAGACUUAUCGCCUUAGCACCCAAGCAAAUCUGUUGUUUUUAUCUUAACUAAUACGAUUUUAUUGUUUUACUCAUCUCACCCGCAUAGUUAACCAAUAUUCCACAUGAGUUCGCAUGCAAACAAGAUUUUGAGAACUUUGAAUUAGUUUACAAUAUAAAGUAAUUUCAAAGAAACAAUUGACUACAGUUAACCUCGUGUUUUAGCUUGAGGUUAACUCUAAACCGUUGUAUCAAACUCGUGAUACUGCCAGCUACUGUCAUGUGCGCCCCACAAAAAGAAGACGUAGUUUUUUCUACUUGAGCAGCUGGCUAAUUGAUAGCGAAACAGUUUUUACAAGGUCUUAAUCCAUUAAAUGUGUGAUUGCUGUUGUUCACUGGAAUAGAAACGGUUAUGUCAUAAAUCAUUCUCAUCUUUAAUAGUGCCGUUUGCGACUUGAAGGCGCGUUGCCUGGCCCUUGGAAAAUAGCUCGGAAUAACUCUAAUCAAGAUCCAGCCUAAUGGCCCAGUAAAUGGCCGCUUGUCUUGCUCUAUCACUCGCAAUCGCCGAAUCUUAAAAAGAUAUCAAAAGUCGCUCGGACAAAGGCAACACCAUAAAUAGGUUAAUUGUUUUUUAACCCACAUUUCCGCUUAUUGUUAGAGUGAAACCGAAACCGUGAGUAUGUGGGCAAGAAAUUCUAGAUAUGCAUUCUGUUCUCUCGAUUUCAGAGGGCUGUGCCUCAUUCAGGAAUUGACCUUUGUUGACGGAAAUUUUUCAAUCCUCUUUUUUUCAGACGCAAGCAAGGCCCGUGAUUCACUUUCGCUUGGAUUUGCCAUUCUCAGUCCAGGGUCACUGAGCAGAGCAGAACAUUUACGUCUAUUAAAAAGCUAGCGGCGGUGCGGCUAUGGAUAAUUCAUCGGCAAGUCAUUAGUAAAACUCAUCACAACAGGUAAACUUCAGUGGAUGUUACAUGCUUGAAACUUUAUUUUCUUCUCUGUGUCGAUACGCCAUAUUUAGUUUGGGGCUUUAUCACGCUUUACUGCCUCAGUUCUUGGUCAACAAGUUGUGUAAUAACUCUAAAGUCGGCAUAAGUAACAUAGAAACAAGACCGGGAUGCUGAGAAAAUUUUUGACGCAAAUUUUUAAAAAGUCAACUUUGAUUUCGAGCGCUAAGAUAAGUGAUGUGAUGAAAUGCACUUGCACAUGAAAACCAUUUGGUUAGGAUCUAAGGCAAGCGAAGGCAUAUUCUCUACCAGGGUAAACGAGACAUUCGCUGGACAGGGAUUAGGCUUGCCAACCUGUGUCGACAAACAGCACAAUGAGACAGCGACAAAACACAAACAGAAUUAAACGACUACGCAGUCUUAAAAUCUCGCAAAAUGCACUACUUUCGCCAGUCUUAGAUGUACGAGUUUUCAGGGGGAGCACGUCUCUGCUAAUUGGAUCCUCUCCCCUCCCCUAUCACUGACAAAGCACCCUCUGAUUGCCUAUAACUACUGAGAUGUAACGAAAGGAACAAAUGGUCUUGAAAAUUCAGUAUUUACAAGUAGAUGAAGAGUAUAUUGGGAAGGGGUCAGUAGAAGGAAGCAACGGGCAAGUGAAUAAAGAAAGAGGAGAAAACAGUACAAUUUUCCCGUUAAAUUAAUUUUAUAUAAAUGGUAUAUAGUUUGCGAAAUCGUAUUCUCUGUUGACGCGCCUAACCACUCGCUUCUUGUGCAGAAGGCCUUGUAGCCAUAUAAACAAGUGAUAUUGAUUGAACCUUGGCGGAAAUUAAAUUUAUUCAUAACGGACUGUGUUUUCCUUCGUGUUCUAAAGCUGAAGGAUAGUUAGUUUCGAGUUUUACCGGAAAACACACGCGCGCGCGCGAGAAUUGGAUCAGCUCAAGCUUUCAAUGUAAUUUGAUCCAUUUUAGUUUUAGUUGAAGAGAGUGAAAGCAAAUGUUCGUGUUUUUAAGGUGAAGAAUGACGUUUUCUGGGUUCCUCGGCGCUGACGUAAACUGCGAUAUUUUACUUGAUUGCAAUAAACAAUUCUGUGACGUACAGCAUCGCACAUCCUAGCGCUUUACUGAACUAAAAAAACCACAGUUCAUACUACAGGGAACUGUUUUGUUUCACUUCGCCACUAAGUGGUCAAAACCCAAAGAGCGUGCGGUCACAGACCUUGGUGUGGACUAAAAAAACAUGCUGGACACAUAGCGCACUGUUUACAUUAAAAUACAGCAAGUUUACAAAAAAAUUUUCCCACACCAGGACAUAAGUCAUUUCUCUUGAGCUGAACUGGCUGGGUAGAAUCGAGAUUAUAUAAUCCAGUCAUUCUUUUAACGAUUGACGUAAUCUGCCGUACUUAUUAGAUAUAAGCCGAAGUACAAAUUUUGAUCAGAUUAACCCAGCAGCAGAGAUAACCGAACAGGCCGCGGUCGUUGUGUAAGCGAUUUUUGCAUCGUCACAAAAUUACGGCUAACGGGAAAACAGUAUUGAUCGCCGGGCGAGAAACGAUUACUCAAAUUGUCUGUCCGUUCCGUGGCGGUAACACAAUAUCCAGAGCGGAGACUUGGACCUCGAGAUCACCAGCGUGUGUCAGUCUUCCUUUAAGAGAGCUGCGGGUAAGACGGUCGCAGAUCGCUGUAGGAGAACCCAAGAUAUUCCGCCAGACAGUACAAGUUCAGUGAUGGAAACACAGACGAGACUGGUUGCGGUAGCCACUUUAGUGAUUCUUCAGAUGCUUUGUGUCCUUAGUGGAAUCCAGGAAGUUGGAGGCAAUAUGUGCAAAUCUAAAAUUACGUGUCUGAUUGAUGAGCCUGGGACCAAUCCGGUUUGUGGCAGCGAUGGAAGAACAUACAGCAGUCGAUGCCUUCUACAGUUUGCAAAGUGUCGUGGCCAUAAAGUUAAGAUGGUUCAUAAAGGAAAAUGCAAAGAUACUAAGCCAUUUC